UCCUGGGUGGCUCAGUUGGUAGCGCGUAAGACUGUUAAUCUUAAGGUCCAUGGUUCGAGCCCAUGUCUAGGAG
rnacentral:tRNA from 1 species